ensembl:lncRNA
AUGGCUCUCUGUCCUCCAGUGGGUGUCUUGUGCCGGCUGGCUGGAGGUAAGGACGUGCGCUCUUCUUCUUCAUGUCCUUUUAGGAAUCAUUCCCCUCACAGAAGGAGGAAGAGGAGCUGGUUGCUGCUGUCAAUCAUCUUCAUUUGUGACUCGUGCGUGUUCCAACAUGUGUGCAGAAACUUCUCGAGGUCUCCUCUGAAGACAGGCUGGAUGAAGUCGACCCUGGAGCCUGAAAGACGAAAGAUGACGCAGGAAGGAGCGGACUGUAAGACCCUCAGUCAGGAGCAUGAGCUGCACAGGCAGAAACCUACACCAGGUCUUGUUCUGUUCCAGACCAGAAAGUCAGACCUGAUGAAGAGGAAGGGUUCUGUGCAGAGGUGCAGGAGGAGCAGGAGGAGCAGGAGGAGCUGGAGGAGCUGGAGGAGCAGGACCAAGACACCAGAAGCAAGAAGCCCCGCAGGAAGGAUACACCCAUCUUCACGUGUCCUCCACAUGUUCCAGUAUGUGGACUGUAACAGCAGGAAAUCGAGACCAUCACCAACUCUGCAGCCUCCUACGAGUUCAGACGUCUCUUCAUGUCAACAGUUUAGAAUCGUACACACGAAAAACUCUUUUUUAAUGUUUGAAACACUGAUCCACUCGGUUUGGUUCUGCAGCUUCCGUAACAUAAAAGUCUCGUUAAUAAAGUUUCUGUGGGGCUUCAGAUUCCUGUGGCACACUCUAAAAUGUGGGUUGUUGCGACCUUGUUGGAGCAAUUCUGAAGAUAAAAGCGGACUGUGUUGGACCGCUAUUAUCAUCCCUGUUGUGCAGAAAGUUUGAUCCUGUAUCCAAACGUCCCACCAGGAUUCCUCAUCAUCCCGACUCCUGUUCAGGCCCUGAUCUCAGAGCAGUUCUGUUCAAACUUUAAAGAAUAAAAACAUGACACAGGAAGCAGAAAAUGGGACCUUUAAUCUACAGUUAUAAUGAUCGGAAACGAAUUUGCUUUAAGCAAGAAAAUAAAAAUGACAUUAGAAGAGACUAAGACACGAUGAGCAGAGGUUCAAAUGAAGCUCAGAUGUGAUCUACUGAAGCAGGGAUCCAUUUUCAACAGUGUAGAGUAACUAAAGUCUCUUCCGGUACCGCAGGGAUAUGUUCUGUAACUUGCGUGCUUUUGCUCUGGCAUCAAUAGGCUGGAAGUCCGACACCUUUAUUCUGAAGAGCCCGUAGGAACCGGCACAGUAGCUGGGUCUGUUGUGCUUCUGGGUCUGUUGCUUCAGCUGGACAUCUGAAUAAAAUACAGGGUGUCAUGAUCCAGCGUGUCUCCUUGUGCUGUCCCUCUGAUGGACUCUUUCCUGAGUCUCUCCGUCCUGCCCACUCCCAAAGCCAACCUCAGCAUCUUCCUCUCUGCUACCUCCAGCUCUGCCGCUGUCUCCAGACCACCCAACAUGGCUGGUCUCGCCACAGUCUUGGACACCUCCUUCAUUUUAGCUGAAACUCUCCACCCGUUCCAGCCUGCCUCUACACACUUCUUCACCUCUUUACCACACUCUCUGUUGCCCUGGACUGUUGACCCUAAGUACCUAAAAGCCUCCACCUUCUUGAUCUCUUGUCCCUGUAACCUCACUCUCCCACUUGGCUCCCUCUCAUUCACAAACAGAUACUCCAUCUUACAGCAGAUAACUAAGUCAACCACCAUCUGUCCUUCUGCGUUCCACUCCCGGAUACUAAACCUGCCCUACUUCCUACUCUCAGUCCUAGACUCUUGGCGUUCCUCUUCUCUCUCUUCCUACGGACACACCUUCCUUCUCUCUUUCUUCGACCAACAGUAGUCCAGUUUCCAUUGGCAUCCCGUACAACAGCACUGAUGGCGGUCGUUGUUAACCCUGGCCU